UACGGAGGGUGCAAGCGUUAUUCGGAAUCACUGGGUUUAAAGGGUGCGUAGGCGGCUAGAUAAGUCAGAGGUGAAAGUUUGUCGCUUAACGAUAGAACUGCCUUUGAUACUGUUAAGCUUGAAAGUAGGUGAGGUUGGCGGAAUGUGACAUGUAGCGGUGAAAUGCAUAGAUAUGUCAUAGAACACCGAUUGCGAAGGCAGGCGGCUAACCUGACUUUGACGAUGAGGCACGAAAGCGUGGGUAGCGAACAGG
rnacentral:rRNA from 1 species